rnacentral:piRNA from 1 species
AUGGAUCCUACUGACUGACAUGC